UCCAUGGAAAACAAUACCCACAGAAACUGAACAUACCUUGGUUAACCGUAUAUGAAAUGGGUAACCAUCCUCGAAGAACAUCAACCAGCCGUCGGCAAUGUGCAGGUGGACUGAGGAAUUUUCUGGUGUGUCCUUUAUGGACUAUACUCCGUCUUAGCACAAUUCCCAAGUUUUACCCGAGAGGCCACGCUUCAGUUGGACCGUCUUCCAUAUAUCUACUGACUUCAUAUAAAUGAAAGUGUACUAAGGACUCGCUGAUUUGCACUACCAGCUCAUGUUCAACGUUACUGAACAACAAAGUAAUCCGACAAUCAGACUGGACCCGGUCAUGUUAGAAUCCAGAGGUAGGAAAUGAACAUACAAUCGACUCCGCAUCGAUGCAUGACCUCGCCCGGAACGCGGCAAGAAUUAACAAUGGAAGAAAAUACUACAGACGUGUUUAUUAACAAUAAAGUUAUUUUUGUUUUUAUGAAA